GGCAGCCCCAGGGUGACUUUGGCCUGCGCUCUGAGCACCCUUCUCGUGCCCUGGGGCGGCCCUGUGGGACAGACUGCCCUCUCACAGCAACAAGAACCUUCUUCAGUUAGUGAAACGGAACUAAAUUAUGGAGAUGCAACGCGUUCAGUUUCAUAGGCUCUCUGUGCCUCGAAUGCCUCACCUGUGAAAUGGACAGAAUGAUAGCAUCUCCCUCAGGGUUGUAGUGAGCAUUAAAUCAGCUAAUACCCGUGAGUACUUGCAACAGCACCUGGCACCCAGUAAGUUCCGAAUAAAUGUUAACUAUUCUCAUUAUGGCUAUUAUUUAUUAAACGGCCCCCAGUGAUUUACAUUGAGUCGUUUCCCACUUUUGACUAUUACAAAUAACUCUGCAAGGAAAACCCUUGGGCUUUAGCUUUGCACAUUUGAGCAAAUAUUUCUGUUGCACAAAUUCGUAGAACUGGAAUUCCUGGGUGAAGGGCAUGCACACUGCUAGGUCCCACUAUAGGCCUUCCAGAACGUGCGCACUAGCACGCCGAGUCACGUAUGAGAGAGUGUCUGUUUCCCCACAGCCGUUUCCAACACUGACUGUCAGCCAUGCUCUCCAUGUUUCCUAUAUGUCGGGCAAAUGACACUGACAGUUGGCAUUUCUCUUGUGAUUGUGAGGUUUUUCCAUUUUGCUACACAUUAGUGGAUAUUUGAUUUUAUUCUUCUGUCCUUGACUGUUUCCUCCUAUUAGGUUCCUG
rnacentral:lncRNA from 1 species